AAGCCCUAGGAGAAGUUCUCACCGCCCUUUCUCCUUCUCUCCCGCUCCGAAGAUUUCCAUUAUAAAAACCUUUUCUGCUUUCUCCUUCUCCCCUGCUCCUCCGCGCUUUCUCCUUCUCAGCCCUUUCCAUCACGCCGUGGAAUCCUUCGGCGUCGACGCUCACCGGAUAUUGCGGCUUAAAAAACGAGCAGCACAAACUAGGUUUCUCAAAAACAGGAAGGGGGUGAUUUGUUUCUCAUUUUGCUCAAACAUUUUAAUGCACUCAUCACCUUCCAGCGAACAGUCGGCGCCGCACCACCACCUAGCCAAUACGACAACGCCUGCACCACCACCUAGCCAAUACGACAACGCCUGCACCACCACCUAGACAACACGAAGACACCGCAUUGCUCUGGAAACUCUUAACUGUUGGUUGCUCCACCGCCUCUUCCAAACUAAGGCUCACAAGUGAGUUGGUUUUUGUUUACCAAUUUUGUUCAAUUUCUUCUUUGAACUCAAUUUUAAAAGAUGAAUGGGGAUUUCUUGGUGUUUGGAUUGUGUGAAUAACGGGAGAGAGAAUGGCGGGGAUCAUGAGUUUACAGUCACGGCUGGUCUCGUCUUUCUUUGGCAACCGUAUAUUUCAAGUUCCCUGAAUUGUAAAGUCAGCUUUGGCUUUACAAAUAUAGGUAGAUCGAGCAAAUAAGUCAACAACUUCAAUCGAGCGUCCUGUAUGAGCAGUUUUCCCAGUUUGUGACCGUUCUUUUCAAUUAAGGUGCAACCACAUUGAUACACCUGAGAUACCAACACAAGGAGUGAUAGUACUGCAGGAUCUGCGAAUCUCUGCAAUGUUGUUUUAGAGACCGGAGCUGACUAAAUGAUCUGGAGGAUACUUGAGAAUCAGAAGGAACUGACCUUUUUGUCAGGCUGAUUGUCAAAGCAAUAAAUCUACCAACAUAUGCUUAAAGAAACAACAGAUGCUAUGAAGACUAUGCAAGCUCAGAUUCGUUUAUGAAAAUGUCAUUUUGCGCCAAUAUUGAAUGUUGAUUAUUAGAAGAAAUUACAUUGCUUUGUGUUAUUUUUGGCUUGUUGGUUGAAACGCAUUUGGACAAUUAGUUUAGCAAAUAGUAUUUUUUUUCCCAGUGAAAGUAGGAACACAACUCUCAUAUUUAGGUUACAAAGUGCAUAUAGGUAAUUGAUUAUAUUAUGCAAUUUUGAUGGGAUGAGACUUAUUUUGUAGGCUUUGAAUUGAUCUUUUAAUGAAAGUUUUUAUUUUUUAUU